GCCGGUGUGAUGGAAUGGUAGACGUAGUGGACUCAAAAUCCACCGCCAGCGAUGGCGUGCCGGUUCGAGUCCGGCCACCGGCACCA
rnacentral:tRNA from 1 species